CUGGGUGGGCUCACUGUUUGCCCGCCUGUCUGCCCGGCUUCUUCUCUGGUUGGCCUCUGCCUGUGCCCGGGAUCCCACCUCGGCCCCGGCCGCCAAACACACCUAGAGAACAGAGAGAGGGGGAUGCAGCAGGGCCAGGGACCCCAGCUCUGUGAGCCCCGCCUAGGGAGCCGUUUCAGAGAACUUUCUAGCUGGACGAAUGCUUGAGGAAAUCAAAGCUGGAGCUUCAAACAGCAGGAGAGCCAAGGCCAGCAAGAGGAGCUGGCCCUGCGGCCCAUGUGCCGGUACCAGGGACCAGAGGCCAGAGCUGCAGGCAGCAUAGCUCUGGCCCUCCACAGAGCCCGCUCGGAAUCUCAGCCUUGGGCCGGGGAGGUCUGGAGACAGGAGGACUGACCCCAACAGGAACUGGAAUCACUGUCUCCUCUGUAGACCUCAACCCCGUGAAGGUGGGGUCAGGGAUCCAGAUUUAGAGGAUCCAAGAGGUCAGGGCUCUCACCAGCCAGAGGCCACCAGGCCCUGUGGGGACAGAGGCCAGAGGCCAACACUGGCCCAGGCCACCAACCUCCCCUCUCACCAGGGAGGGCCAGCUGUGCCAGGGUGCACGGCCUGGUGGGAGUUACUGCGAGGCUGCUAUCUGCACCCCAUGGCCCCGUGGCUUCCUGCAGAGCAGCCAGAGAAAAACCCCAACUUCCCUAGGUAGGACCCGACCCACUCUCUCAACAACUUUGACCCCAAGUGCUGGGAAGGAGCCAGGCCUGGGACCCCAGAGGCCCCACCCACCCUGAGAUCCCCAAAGUUCCCUGCCUGGAGUACUAUCCCCAUCCCUCCCUCGGACUCACUCCUGACCACCUCGUGAGCCUGCACUCAGAAUUGGCACCUGGGGCCUGCCGGGGCCAGGCUGCCGUGCUGCAAGCCCCCAGGCUGGCACCUGAGCCCGGCACACCAGCAGUGCCCAUGGAUGGAAGACGCAAAGCCCAGGUCCCCCUGAAAACACAAGAGCUGGGGACAGAGAGGUAUGUCCACUGUGGAUGGGAGACCCACCUCGGCCGGCGCCGCCCAUGCCGCGGCCUUUCUGCUGCUUCUGCUGCUGCAGGCCUCCACGGCCGCGGCCCUUGGCCACCACCUCCUCCUUGACCAUGUCAAUGAUCUCGUCAGGAAUGCGCAGGUACUUGAUGGUGCUGCCACGGAUGUAGCACUCGGGCAUCCGCCAGAACUUGUCCCCGUCCUGCGGAGAAGGGGAGCGGGUUUUAUUUAUUUUUGAGAUAGAGUCUCACUCUAGCACCCAGGCUGGACUGCAGUGGCACGAUCUUGGCUCACUGCAACCUCCGCCUUCUGGGAUCAAGCAAUUCUCCCGCCUCAG